CAACAAAGCAACUGUUGCGGUGGAAAGGAUCACACCCGCUGUCCAUUUGCAAACUUACACUAGGGAAGAGGGUUGCUCUUGAGCCAUCCGAUUUAAAAAUAGAUCGGAUGGCCACAAAGUUUCACGUCCCCCCUGCUUUACAUUUCUUGAUAUUAUAACAGAGUUCAUCCCGAUUGAACUUUCCUCCAUGACUUUAUUUACAGCCCCAACAUGUGUUACGAACACUAUACACGUGGCACACCCGACUACUUCAUUGGUACUUACACAUCCUCUACAGAAGAAAGAAGCAUCAUCACUUCACGCUGUGAGUCAGGACUCAGGAGCCGUGGCAUCAACCAUUGAUCAUUAUGUACAGUGCAAGCCCUGGUCGCCAUAGCUCGGUGGUAAGUGUACAAAGCACCCGCCGGCCGCCUGCGUGCAUGAGCAUGGCGCACGGCGCGCUCAGCCGGCCGGCCGGCGGCCAUACCGCACGCUUCAUCCGCUCCUCCUCCUCCUCUCGAGCAUCUCGCUGAACUCCUCGUCGGUGGCCUUGAGCAUGUCCGGCAGCGGCAGGUCGACGCCGGCGUCGGCGGCUGCGCGGUGCCGCGGCGCGAUCCGCUUCUCGAGGCUGAAGGUGAAGUACUGCGGGAAGGCCUUGACGUCCUCCACGCCGCCGCCCAUCUCCUCCACCAGGUACUCG
rnacentral:lncRNA from 1 species